rnacentral:rRNA from 1 species
AUUGAACGCUGGCGGCAGGCCUAACACAUGCAAGUCGAGCGAGCGGCGGACGGGUGAGUAAUGUCUGGGAAACUGCCUGAUGGAGGGGGAUAACUACUGGAAACGGUAGCUAAUACCGCAUAACAUCAGAUGUGCCCAGAUGGGAUUAGCUAGUAGGUGGGGUAACGGCUCACCUGGGCGACGAUCCCUAGCUGGUCUGAGAGGAUGACCAGCCACACUGGAAGUGAGAGACGGUCCCGACUCCGACGGGAGGAAGCAGUGGGGAAUAUUGCACAAUGGGCGAAAGCCUGAUGCAGCAAUGCCGCGUGUAUGAAGAAGGCCUUCGGGUUGUAAAGCACUGUCAGCGGGGAGGCGUUACCCGCAGAAGAAGCACCGGCUAACUCCGUGCCAGCAGCCGCGGUAAUUC